AAUAGACUGAGGUUCGCUGCAGCACUGUGAGAAGAUUGGAGAUUUGAGUUUAGGGUGCUGUGUGUAGAGAAUUUACACGUGGAAAACACGCAGCCGGGCCGCCACGUGUCCUGAGUGGUAGUGGUGGCGGCAGGCUUCGAGCUUAGGCGUGUGGAGGCUGGUGCUGAUGGCCACGAGCGGUGUGCGCGGCCUGCUUGCUAAACGCCGACAUCUGGCUGGCCAAGCCUGAGCGGCGGCGGGAAAACCAUAUUCCCGGUAUUUGGGGCAGGGAGUUUUACGUUGAGCAAGAGGCCUUUUAUAAGGAGAGUGUCGUUUUCUCGUCGCGGAUCAAAAAGGUCAUUUGAAAAUGGGCAGCCCUGACGUUGCCUGAGAUUGAGUUGUAUUGUGCCCAGGUGGCGCUGUGUGCAAACCAGAUUAAUGAUUGGGAAGAUUUUAGUACUGAAAACCUUCAACUGUCAUUCUGUAAGAAUGCUUAAUUUUAAAUAUUUUGGUCCCCUUCAGGAACAAUGGCUCUCAGUGGCAUAACGGAGCUGUUACCUGGAGAUGUUCAGAUACAAAGGAAAACUAGAAAAUACGUGAGGGAAUAUUUGCUGGGAAAUUACUUGGUUGGAACCUGACCAUUUUACCCAGCAUCCUGGGAGUUGAUGAAUACUAACAGACCUACAAAUGUCACUGGCUAGCAACGUAAUUUUUAAAUGAGGGGUCGCUGUCUUUCCAUUGAAAGGGGCCAGUUUGCUGUGACCUUCCUAAGAUGUAACCCAUUUCUGGUUAAUACCACCAGAUUUACUUGUGAAAAAUCGAUAAGGAAAAGCUCUUCAUUUAACUGACAUGGGAAGAAAACCUACAAAUCAAGACAAUAUUUUUUUAUUUCUGUAAACAGGUUAUGAAACCGCAUCAGAUUCAGAUUAAUGUAUUUGUAAGAUUUAAGCCAUUACUUUUUAUGUCAUACUGCCCUAGAGAAUCCUAACCUGUUAAGCAGAUUACUUUGUAGAUCUGUUUCUAUUUUAAAUACAGGAAUGCAAAGGAAGGUACAUGUUUUUAAUGGAGAAGUCUUUGAUUUCAGUUAACCAGACUUGUAAUCAGCUUAUUGUGAAUGUUUCACCUUUGGCCACCUGUUUGAAUUUAAAAUCUACGAUUGUAAUUAAAGCUGAGUGAAAAUUUACACUGAAUAUUGUGGAAAAGUCCUUAGAUUUUUAUGGAGAGAUGACUCAUUUUGGCAGUAUCACACGGUACAGAUCAUGUUGGGUUUUGUAGCGUACUGAAUAUUACUGGAUUAGUGGUGAGCAAAACGGAAAGACUGAGUCUGUUACUGGGGGAGGGGAAAAUAACAGGUAUUACUGGUUCUAAUUACUGAUUUCUGGAAUGUUUGGUCCUAAUGAAUUAUAGUUUGAAAGGAUGCUUAAGAUGGAAAAUGUGAGGGACACCUUGGUGGCUCAGUAAAACAUCUCAGCUCCUCCAUGCUGGGUAAGAAACCUACUUUAAAAAAAAAAGAUGGAAAAAUGUGGAAUGCUGAAAAUGAAGAGAGCACAGCAUGACAACGGGUCAUGGGGGAAGUUCACUGAUAAAACCAAACAUUGCAUAGAAUGGAUUUAGUGUAGACAGUAAUAGCAUCUGAUCUAACCAAGAUGGUUUGGCCCCAUGCAUGAUCAUUUUCCCUAAAUAGCUACAUGAAUAAAUUGUUGCUAAGCCUAUACUUCAGUGUUAGUCAAAAGAAUAUUCUUGUCAGCUUAUGAUUAUGAACUACCUUUUUUCCUAAAAUGUUUUCUUAGUGCAAAUACAACGUUGGACCCAUGUAGUUUAAGAGGCUCAGUGACAACCAUGCCAUUUAGUGAGUAGGUACAAAGGGAAAAGCCACUUGGUAUAACAGAUUACAUGUGUAAUGGGAUUUUGAUAUAUUAACAAAAGAAAAGUGAUUGGGGUCUGUACAACCUUUUCAAGAAACUGUCUAGCCUUUUGUCAAAGCUGGCACCUCACUUCAAAACAAGUUGUGAAAUAGAUAAAAUUUGCUUUGGAGCACUCUGACCUCUUCCUGCAAUUUCUGUUGUUGCUUCUUCCCUCUCAAUUGAUCUGGUAAUAUGUCGCAUAUCUUUAGUUUAUUAUAAUGUGCAUUUUAUGGAUUGCAGUGUUACUGGGCUCUGCUAAGGAGGUUAGAAGUAAAACACUUCCUAUGUCCUCAUUUUGUUAAUAGCGACAUGAAAUGCCAAGAAAACCAAAGGCAGGCUAUAAAGUGAGAAAAAAUGUCUUGAGAUUGAACAAGUGGAUUUGAGUCAAAACCAUCUCAGAUGAGAUGUGAGAAAGAUAACAUUUUUGGCAUAAACACUUGGAGCAAAGAUUAUAUGCUCCAGGACCUCAGAAUGAUGAAUUUGAAAUUUAGGUAUCAAUUGUGUGGUUAGAUGUAGGACAAAUAAGGUAGAAGAUAGACUGAAAUGUUUUGGGGUGACAACAGUAAAAACCUAUGGUUAUUUGAAUUCCCUAAAACAUUUUUUUCAGGGGGAAGGCACAUAGCAGAAAAUCACAUUUAGUCCCUUUGACUCUAUACAGAGUGUACACUUGAACAAGUAAGUCAGAUCCAAAAAGGUACGCUUUAGUGAAAUUAAGCUUGAAAGCUCAACAUGUUAUAAUUAGCUGCCAUUAAAAUUACUAAUUGUUUCAAACCUGUAAUAUACCUAAAUGGUAUUUUUCAUUCAUACAACAUGGUGUUGACUGUCAUUCUACUAGCCUUCUGUUUUAUGAAUGUUAACAUACCAGGUAUUCCUUUCAAGUCCCUGACUAAGGGACUUAACCCUCUGAGCAUAUGUGCAAUUUAAUAGAGAACUUAAUGGAGACAAAGCUUUCAAGACCUGAGGAAUAAAAGACGACGGCUAUAAUAGACUGGGAUCUGCUUGGUUAGGACUGAUACCAGAAGUUGAAAGCAAAACCUACAUGUGUCUGGCUUUAGUGGCUUUAACCAAUAGGAAUGCUUUAUGCCUUCCAUCACGCUUCCAGGUUAUCUUCAAAUAUAGUAGGCUCAAGCCUACCAUUUGGUGCUUUCUAAAAUUCUGUUGCCAGAAAUCUAGUAUCAACUGCACUUCCCAAUCAAGUGCUCUCUGAAUUGAUAAUACACUUCAUAAAUCCUUAACUGUUUACCCACCCUGUGAGGAAUCUUGGUUGUGCUCAGGUUUUUAACACCCAAUUUCCCAGUUAGAAUAUUUAUUUGAAUUCCAGCCUUCUAGGAUAGUCUGCUUAUCUUUUGCUGGUCCUUCCUUCCUUUAGGUGGGACUCUCUUUUUCAUCUUUCCUCCCAAAAGCUUGGUUCUGGAUCCAAGUAGCACUCACAGCAUAGUAUAGUAAUUAUAAUUGCCUGGCUGAAUAUUGCCACUGCCUCUGGCCUUGCUGCACCUCACUGAUUCUACUUAUUUGCAUAUGUAUGAAGAUCAGAUCAAAGCACAAGUUUGCCAUGAGGUGCUGGAAGGUUUAUGGACCAUCUUGGGGUGGAGGAGAGGGUAUCUUUUCAAAAUGACAAUCGAACUCCUUGGUCUCAUUCUUACAAGACCUGGCCUCUUCCCCUUAUUACUAGUCCACUGCUAGAGUCCUGUCAUGCCAUGUGGCUGAGUUACAACAAAAUGAGUUAAUGUCACAGAACCCCUGAGUACACUAUAAUCGAACCUUUUUGGGAACUUAAUUAUGCUCAUUCAGUUGAUUCUAAUUCUUUUCAAAAUAGUAUUAAUAAUGUAAAAAGCAUUUAAGAAUACUCAGAAAUUAGCAUUUGAGGAAAAUAACAUUUACACAUAUAAUGCGUUACUUAGGUCAGUAAACUUGACAUAUCCUUGCCUCCUAACUAUAUAAAGUAUAAUUGUACAUUUUUAAAUGUACAGUUUGAUGAGUUUUUCCUUUGAUACACACCCAUGAAAACAUAAGUUUUAGAGAAGUACAGAGUUAAGAGAUCUGAGCUGGAGAAAUAAAAUUGGGAAUCAUCCACAUGUGGAUGGUGUAUUUAAAGCCAUAAGAUUACAUGAGAUCACCAAAGGAGUGAAUAUAGAUAAAAGGAGUGGUCCAAGAGUUGAGUCCUGGAACAUUCUAAGAGUAGGGGAUUCUGGGUUUAGUUAAAAUCCUGGAGAUUAUUUUGUGCCUGGGACAAAAAUUGAGAAGCAGAAAUCUAUUGUCAAGUCCAACUGCUAUAUCAAGAAAAGGAACUAGAUGGAAAAUCAAGGAGUUUUGGAAUAAAAGCAAGAGUGAAAACUAAGCAAAUAAUUGGGCUAUAGGGCUGGAGAUAGCCUUGAUUUAAUGCAGAGCCUUAGCAUAGAAAUUGAAGGAGUUAAUAUCUGAGAAAGACUUUGUGAAUUAUCGGGCAAAGUAGUCUUCAGGAAAGAAUAAGAUAAGGAAUUUAGGAAGUAUGAUAAGGGUUUUCAUCAGACACUGCAGACUUAGAAAAGUGGAGUUAGCUACAGACAAGUUAGAGGUUUGUCUUACAGAGCCAAAGUACCUGCUGAGGCUAAAAACUACCGAUUUUAAUAGUUAAUCAGCAUAAUUAUUCACUGUUCUCCUAUGGGAUUUAUCUGCCUGGGAGCAGGAAGCAGAUCAGUGGAUUCAUCUAAAAUAGGAAUAAAGUGGCCAGGAAGAGCAAAACAAUAACAAGCCAAGAGAAUUGAUUUGGUAAAAGUGUUAUUAAAAUUAUUAACCUUGAGAUCCAGUCUGAUUAGGGAAAAACACAAAACAA